rnacentral:rRNA from 1 species
CUACACCUGAAAUGAGCAGAUUACCCGCUGAACUUAAGCAUAUCAUAA